CAGCAGCCACGGUAAUACGUAGGGUGCGAGCGUUAAUCGGAAUUACUGGGCGUAAAGCGUGCGCAGGCGGUUGUGUAAGACAGGUGUGAAAUCCCCGGGCUCAACCUGGGAACUGCAUUUGUGACUGGCAAGCUAGAGUCUGGCAGAGGGGGGUGGAAUUCCGCGUGUAGCAGUGAAAUGCGUAGAUAUGCGGAGGAACACCGAUGGCGAAGGCAGCCCCCUGGGCCAACACUGACGCUCAUGCACGAAAGCGUGGGGAGCAAACAGGAUUAGAUACCCCUGUAGUCCCUGUCUCUUAUAC
rnacentral:rRNA from 1 species